CCCGGGCAGGAAGGGGCUCUGACGCAGCCCGCCGCGUGAGCGAAGAAGGCCUUCGGGCCGUAAAGCCCUGUCGAGCGGGACGAAAAAUCAUUAGGUGAAUAGCCUAGUGAUCUGACGGUACCGCUAAAGGAAGCACCGGCUAACUCCGUGCCAGCAGCCGCGGUAAUACGGAGGGUGCAAGCGUUGCUCGGAAUUAUUGGGCGUAAAGGGUAGGUAGGUGGUCUCAUUUGUCUGGGGUGAAAGCCUUGAGCUUAACUCAAGAAGUGCCCCAGAAACGGUGAGACUAGAGUCUUGGAGAGGGUCGUGGAAUUCCCGGUGUAGGGGGGAAAUGCGUAGAGAUCGGGAGGAACACCAGAGGCGAAGGCGGCGACCUGGACAAGUACUGACACUCAACUACGAAA
rnacentral:rRNA from 1 species